CCUACGGGAGGCUGCAGUGAGGAAUAUUGGUCAAUGGACGAGCGUCUGAACCAGCCAAGUAGCGUGAAGGAUGACUGCCCUAUGGGUUGUAAACUUCUUUUAUAUGGGAAUAAAAUGUUCCACGUGUGGGAUUUUGUAUGUACCAUAUGAAUAAGGAUCGGCUAACUCCGUGCCAGCAGCCGCGGUAAUACGGAGGAUCCGAGCGUUAUCCGGAUUUAUUGGGUUUAAAGGGAGCGUAGGUGGAUUGUUAAGUCAGUUGUGAAAGUUUGCGGCGCAACCGUAAAAUUGCAGUUGAAACUGGCAGUCUUGAGUACAGUAGAGGUGGGCGGAAUGCGUGGUGUAGCGGUGAAAUGCUUAGAUAUCACGAAGAACUCCGAUUGCGAAGGCAGUUCACUGGACUGCAACUGACACUGAGGCUCGAAAGUGUGGGUAUCAAACAGGAUUAGAUACCCCUGUAGUC
rnacentral:rRNA from 1 species